rnacentral:lncRNA from 1 species
CUUUAUUCAUAGAAUGUGGGUUAUUUCAGGCCCCUCUGAUCUAGCCUGAAUUCAUGUGCACACAGACUGUACAAUUUCAGAAACCUUGCCUAUUCUUUUCUCUGUUUUUGCUGGCUGUUUAGUAAAUAUACUGCAUCUCCCCAGAAAAUUUGUUUUUCUUACACAUCAAUAUGUAGGCAUUUCCCUAAUAAUUUUCAUCUUUUUUUUUAUAUCUUGUUUUACUGCAGGCUGAGAUUCUUUAGAUCAUACAGAUUUUCCAGUCUGGAGGUGAGAUAGCACUGGAACAACAAAUGGAAAUGAAGGAUACCUGCAACCUCCCUAAGCUACACUUUGGCAGCCCCCAUUGAAAUGACACAGGGCGCAGACCCUUCUUGUCACCAGCACUGCUGCCAGCACUUCUGGCCCUAUGCAGAGCAUGGAAGAGUUCCCACUGACAGCAAGGGGAUCUCUGAUGAUAUAUUCUCACCAGUGUGCAUAGUGUGCAUGGUUUUGUGGAGCACCUGAGGCUGUGUGCCAUGGAUGGUUUCUGCAGACUGAAUUUACUGAAUGUGCCUCACAUUCUACCCCAGCACCCAGUCUACAGUCCUCAGAAAGGCUGUCUGGAGAAGAACAGUGUGGAAAUACAAGUUAAUAAGAUAAAGAAAAAGCAUAAGGAAGACAGAAGAACGUAAAAGUUGUGACAGAGUCUCCAACUUGCAGAGGGCUUGUGCAUACUCCCUUGUAUGCUUUACUGGAAAAUAAAUAGCUUGGAGUUUGCA